GGCAGGCCUAACACAUGCAAGUCGAGCGGAUGAAGGGAGCUUGCUCCUGGAUUCAGCGGCGGACGGGUGAGUCAUGCCUAGGAAUCUGCCUGGUAGUGGGGGAUAACGUCCGGAAACGGGCGCUAAUACCGCAUACGUCCUGAGGGAGAAAGUGGGGGAUCUUCGGACCUCACGCUAUCAGAUGAGCCUAGGUCGGAUUAGCUAGUUGGUGGGGUAAAGGCCUACCAAGGCGACGAUCCGUAACUGGUCUGAGAGGAUGAUCAGUCACACUGGAACUGAGACACGGUCCAGACUCCUACGGGAGGCAGCAGUGGGGAAUAUUGGACAAUGGGCGAAAGCCUGAUCCAGCCAUGCCGCGUGUGUGAAGAAGGUCUUCGGAUUGUAAAGCACUUUAAGUUGGGAGGAAGGGCAGUAAGUUAAUACCUUGCUGUUUUGACGUUACCAACAGAAUAAGCACCGGCUAACUUCGUG
rnacentral:rRNA from 1 species